ACCUAUUGGACCCGGGGGCGGUACCCGGCGCCUCCACCAUAAAUCAAAAAAGAAUGUUUGGUUUAUGAUGGGGGCGAAAUAGGAUCGACAAGGGCGUAAAGAUUGAUCUUUUACUCGGUAUUGUACCACCGUUAUCGGGCUAACUUAGUAGUUGCAAAUGACAACUAUGCGGAAGCUCGUCUCGCUGCUUAAUUGCGGCGCGUACGCUUCAAAUUGAGUCUUAAGCCGUCGCAGGUUUAAGCGGGGUUCGGAGG
rnacentral:tmRNA from 1 species